CUGACUUCUCAUUUUCUAUUUUUAUCAUCAUUUAUUGUUUGCUUCUUACAUUAUAGAUGUACUUGAUGUAAAUUGCAGAAAAUAGCAUUUUAAACCUUUUUUCCUCAAUUGUCUUUUCAGAACACGUAAGAUCAUGAAAACACUCUGCAGUACCCAAGUUAACUUUAGAAUGGUUAAGUAGCAAUUCCCUUGAUGACCAUGUUCACAUUGUGAGCUGCACCAACACACGUGUUUUGUCUAUCAGUCCAAAAGAAUAUCCCAUUUAGGGCUUUUCCCCACAGUAAUCAAGGCUGAAGACAGCAAAACAGCAUUCCCUUCAGAGGAUGCAGCAACAAAUGAACCAACAUUUGUUAGAGACUAAGCCCUGGUACCGGUUCCUUUUGCAAUAUAGUGUAGUGUGACUUCAGUUUCCUAUAGUGAAGGCAGCCAAGGUAAAAAGUACAAGACUGCAGAUUAAUUUAGUAAAAAUGUGUUUCUGUGCAUAAAGCUCCUUAGGUUCAGACUUGUUGCUGGUCGAAACUGGCCUAUUGACCUUUGUCCACUCUAGCUGGUAAACCUGCAGGUCUUUGCUAAGGUAUGCUUGCAGCAUAAAACGUCUCAGGCUCUAAUUAAAUGCAGAAUGCAUGUAAAUAGCCUUUCCAGAUGUUUUAGUUAAUGUAACUAAUAUCAGUCUGAGCCUAAUGCCUUCCUUUACUUAGGAGGUGAAAGACUUGGCGUGAAACAUUUGUCUUUGAAAAUUUUAAAACAUGGUAUUUGUUUCCUUUUAUGAUUUUUACAAUUUUGUCUCAUUUAUAGCAAACCCCAUUUGGCCUACAAGAAGCGUAUCAGCUGCCUUUUGCUGGUAAAAAAACCUGGCUGCCAUAAAAACAGAUAGCCUCUGGAUUUGGCAAGAUGAUAAACAGAAAGAUUGUCAUCAGUUUCAAAAGGUUUCUCUUCCAUUUGCAGUGGAAUAUUGCAUUAUGCCUCUAGUUGAGAAAUGUGAACAGUAAUCUCACUUUCACGCACAUUGGGAUGGCUUGCUGGAGGCCACUCAAAAUUUUACUUUAAAAACCAACCAAACAAAACCAAGGCAAACAAAACAAGCUAUGUUCACAGCUUCGUUUUAAAAUAUCAUAGGCAUAUUUGUACUAAGGACCCAGUUUUACCAGCCUGUUCUUUGUAGAAUUCUCAUCUGCUCUGAUUAUUUGAUAAAGACUAAUUUUGUCAGGUUGCUUUGCCUUUGUUCAGUUUUUGGGUUGUUGUGGUUUUUUUUGUUGUUUGAGGUAUUUUUUCCAGAAUUCUUAACCUUUCCAUAGUUUCAGUGUAUUUUUAAAUUAUUGCGAAAAUUCCCCUUCCUUCUCCUGUGGCUAGCAGGAAGCCAGCAGGAUACCAAUACUGCUUACUCACGGAAAUUAAAAACAAAACAAUAGGUAAGAAAAAUAAAGAAAUAGAACAAACAAGAGACACUAUCUUUUCUGUUAAAGCUUAAUGUGUUGUGUAUUAGUUAUUCGACAUAUUGGAGCUUAAAGUCUUGAAACUUCCCUGGCAGAGUUUCUGCAGAAUUUGGUUGCUAGUUAUUUCUGUGUCUGCAACUGAAAUAUAGUGUUGAACUACUAGUCCUGUCUGUGUGCCCAUAAAAUUGGUAAAAAAGCAGUAAGCCAGCAACAGUAGCCUUGCAGCCCAGGUCCAUGUUCAAGGUGUGAUAGUUUAUAUGGAGAGGUGGUCUGUUUAUUAAUUUAUUUUUCUUGUACCCCUGCAGAUGUUGGUGGUUAUGGGACUUGCUGGGCAGGCACAGGUGAUGUCAGCUUGGCUGGACAUGUGUGUGCAUCAUGCCCUCAACGUGUGAGGUCUCUCCCACUCUCCUGUCAAGCCUAUCCUGAGGCGCUUGGACUAUCCUGUGCUCCUACUCCCAAGCAGAACCACGGUGACUUGCACAUAACUGCUUUAGUAGGCAACAGAUCUCAGAAAAAUACUUGAGUCACUUCCCCAAAAAAGGAAAUCUGAGAUUUACAUUGCUGGCAGGUGUGUUGCCUGUUUUUGCUCUCCACACUGAACUCCAGAACUUGGUGCAGCUCUGUUCAGAUGGAGGGAACAGCAAAAGGAUUCAAAACCUGGAUUUGGUCCCUGACCCUGCCACUGAAGUGCCCCAGGACUGAUUCAUUCCCUUUGCAUCUCUUCAGCUUUCUUACCUCCUUUGCAAAAAUACCCACCCCAGAACUUCAUCACUCCCACCUUUAAAGACUUUUACUGCCUUUGGGCUAGGAGUGCCUUGAGUUAAGAUGAGAAUUUUGUUAAAUUCCAGUCUUGCCUAUAACAUGAUAGUGGUUCCAUACAGGAAAGUGUGUGCUGUGUUUCUCCAGAAUGCAUUAAGAAUAGAAUUUAAUGCAAGUAAGGCACCAAGAUUAAUCUAAUCCUCAGGUUAUCAUUAUCAAAUGAUGUUUCAGGUAUAAGAUAUGUUAAAAGUCUUAUCAUUAGCUGGUGUUUUUGUGUUGCAUGUACUAUAUAGAUGACUUCAUGAAAAGGUGCAGAAGUUUUUUUUUAAUUAGAAAUCACAAAAUAUACUUUGAAAACAUUAAUAAGUUUUGGCCACGGGUAUUGUGGCAUGGUGCAGUGUCCUAUUAAAGAUAACCAAGAAUGACAACUUUCAUAUGGAUCUAAUACCGAAAGAUGACCUUUGUGCUCCCUUGCUAUCUGGGCAGUAUGAGGGGGAAAAUUUCAGUGCAUAAAUCUAAAACCCUCUGGAAAAUAUUCUUUAUAGCUCCAGUAAAGUCCUUUGGCUAGUUCAGUGUUUGCUGUUGACACCAAAGACACCUGAAUAUUCCUUAAUGUACUGAAAUGUUCCAGAGUGUCACCAGUAAGAAUUGCGCAUUUUCUGGUACAGCACACAGUUUUUAAAGGUUCCUCUCUAUUAUAAUCUUCAUUGCUGUCCUAUAGAUGAAAAAACAGGCAAUUUUCAAUUUGCUUUAUGCGCUGCCUCAGUGCAAUGGCUAUGUCCCAGAGUGAUGCACUCAAAGUGUCAAGUACGAGCCCAAAACUGGCAAGAGGAUUCUGCCGGAGCUAUAAAUUCCCUCUUCUCCAGAGGUUAUUUCUGCACUCACCCUUUGUGUGCAGAACUUAUUUCUGUGCUUGGGUUAAUGUUUACGUUUUCCUUGUAGGUCAUCUUUUAUUCUAAAAACUAAAUUGAAAUCCUUCUGUUCAGCUAUUAAAUUUGUGGGUUCUGUAUAUUGUACAAUAUAUUUUAAGGGGGGGGGGAUUAGCUUUUGGAUUAUAGUUUUUCAAGGGAAGUGGUUAUUUUCUCUCUACCCAUUCUGAUCAGUACCUUCAGAAAGACAGUCCAGCAAUGGUUUAGGUGCUGAUAUUUUAUAAUCAGUAUCUUAUAAUAAAAAUUGUUUUUCAUACAAUUUUAAUUUAUCCAGUACAUAUGUCAGGCUCUAGAUCUUUGCCCAAUAUCUGUUGCUGCUAAGACGUUGUAAUCUGUUAGUACUUCAGCAUCUGAUCUGUUCUACAUUCCCUUCACACAGAUGUGUCUUAAUGAUGUUUCCAUUAAUAUUUAUUCUGAUAGAGUGUAUUUGUGUGAAGAUUAGGACUUGGAGCUGGUUAGCAGGUUUCAAAAGUCAUUACACAGAAGAGAGUGAUACUUUAGCAAGCCAAGGUAUCUCAUCAAGCAAAAACCAUCUGAACUGGGGAUGGACCCAGGAAAGGGGUAUGGAGGACAGGACACUGUUGCCCACUGGUGGGUGGACAGCACAGGUCUCAGCUGCUGCCUCCUGCCUUCGCUCCAGCUCUGCUCUCAGGUGUAGCUGGAAGGUCAGGGUCCUAUGGAUCACCUAGUGCUGGGACAGAUGUUGAAUACUGAGGAUUAAGCUACUGGACAGGGUAGGAGAUGCAAAUAGUUUGUUUUCCAUUUCUGUUUUGCACUCCCAAAAUUACUCGAUAGAUUCCCCCAAAGUCACCAAGGUUGGAUAGGUUUUGUUCUCCCCUCCUUGCCCCGCCCCACCCCGUGGGGAUUCACCUAGGUGAAAUAUUUUUGGGACCUACAAGGGAAAGGGACUGUAUGCACGCAAAGAACUGCUUUUUUUUCAGGUAUAUUAUAUGGCAUCUGAUUUUAUACAUAAGGAAGGUUAUUUUUAUGAGGCCUUUCCCACCCUACGAAAAUUGAGCACCCCUUUUUGUUUUCUUGGCUACAUUUUCUCAUGAGUCUGUUACUCUGCUAAUGUGUGUUAUUUUUUCCUUCUCUGCAAAGCCUUGUGAUUUUCAAAUGUGUAUGAGUAGCAUUUAUCCCUCUCCCCCUCCAGUAAUGUUAUGACUACUUAUGUUUUAUGCUUCUGAAGCAUUCGGCACUGUGGGAAAAUAUAGAAUGCUGUGUACCAAAGAAAUUGAAGAAUAUUAAUGUAUUCAAAUGAAGGGAAAUAAAAAUUGAA